rnacentral:rRNA from 1 species
CCUACGGGAGGCUGCAGUGGGGAAUAUUGCACAAUGGGGGAAACCCUGAUGCAGCGACGCCGCGUGAGUGAAGAAGUAUUUCGGUAUGUAAAGCUCUAUCAGCAGGGAAGAAAAUGACGGUACCUGAUUAAGAAGCCCCGGCUAACUACGUGCCAGCAGCCGCGGUAAUACGUAGGGGGCAAGCGUUAUCCGGAUUUACUGGGUGUAAGGGGAGCGUAGACGGCAGCGCAAGUCUGAAGUGAAAUGCCGGGGCUUAACCCCGGAACUGCUUUGGAAACUGUGCAGCUAGAGUGCAGGAGAGGUAGGUGGAAUUCCUGGUGUAGCGGUGAAAUGCGUAGAUAUUAGGAGGAACACCAGUGGCGAAGGCGGCUUACUGGACUGUAACUGACGUUGAGGCUCGAAAGCGUGGGGAGCAAACAGGAUUAGAUACCCCAGUAGUC